GUGAUAUUACAGUAACUUUCUUUUGCUCAAUUUUAGGGAGAGAGAGAUUGUCUUUGCUCAUUUUUAGAGAGAGAGAUAGAGAGAGAGAGUUGCAGGAGAUGUGGCCCUUCCAGAGUAGCCAAUGAGAUGUUGCUGAUAAAGGGGUUUGUCUUCAUAAAUGAAAAGUUGUUUCUGAGAGUUCUUGGAAAUGGAGGAUUGCUCUUUUCAAUGAAUCGGAAGAAGAGAAUUGUAUCUGUUUUUCAUUCUUUCCUCUCUGUAAUUUCAGUUCAUUUGCUCCAUUUACUUAUGAACAACAGUUUCACGCGGGCUGGACCGCAUUUGUACAA